CAGGCGCACGCCACACGGACACGGGCAUCUCCCCAAUACCUACGACCCCAACUCCCUCCAGCGCCGCCGCCACCGCCCCCCUCUUCUGCAACCACCACGCCGUCCGCGCAACCCUAAAGCACGCUGCUCCUUUCCCUUCCCAAGCCGCCCUGGAUCUGGCGAUGGAGGUGGCCGCCGUCGUGGCCAUGGAGGUCUCGCCAGCCGCCUUCGAAGUCCUACAUCCCCGAUAUCGACGGGAUUACAGCCGCCUGGCCAAGGUCGUCGGCCCUCGACGAGCUCCUCCAUAAAUUUUGGUUCCCCAUAGUGCCUACGGCCGCCUCUCCCUCUCCAUCCUACGCCCCUCCUUCUCCACUUUAGAUUUCGGCUGAAGAUCGCCUCUCCCUAUUCCCCUUCCAAUCUGGAGCACAGGCGGAGAGCCUGGUUGUGUGCGGCGGAGAUGGCGCCCCGCCUCUGCGCCUCAUAAGGCUGGGCGUAGCUUCGCCGAGGCCAUGACCUCUCCAGGAGGGGAGUCCGGGAGGCGGGACAGCCGGCAGCGGCGCCAUUCUGUUUGGGGAUGCUUGGAUCUGGUGAUGCUAGAGCAUGGGAACGGGAAACAUCACCUCAGCUAUGGAAUUUCAAAUAGCCAAUUUACCUUUCUCCCUAAAGAUUUCUUACACUGCUGUUAGUAUCAUUGCUCUUGGGGUCUAGAUUUUGUUAAUAUCAAAAUCUGGGUACUUACCAGCAAAUGAGUUGUUGAUCUAUUUACUUAGUCAAGUUCAUUUAUGCUAUGUUCUUCAGUCAAGCUUUAGAUUCUAGCCAUUAUUAAAUAGCAAUGAUGUUGUUCAAAACCUGCUAAUGUCAGAAAUCCUACUGCCCAGCAGGAUUUCUAGAAUUCUAGUGCAUCUGGUUUCUAUAACAUGGUUUCCCAACCGCGGUGAGCACUGCUCAGUGCGUGGCAGCUUUUCAUUAGGAUUGGAAACAAGAUUUGAGAUACAGGUGUAGGUCAAAUUUUGCAAAAAUUAUGGGUCUGCAGGUAGAAAGUUACAUGUAGGAAAUUUUACAAUUUUCUGAGAGUAAAAAUUCAAGCAUGAAUUUGAAUAUAGUUCCA